GCAAGUCAACUGGAACAGGCCUACUACACGUACUCUACUAGUGCGAAAUUACGAAAAUCAGCUGCGGUAGUCUGGUAGAUGAUGUAGCUAGCUAUUCAGAAACAGUGUCUUAUAUCUUUUUAUGGAACAGUACCAUAUAUCUUGAUCUUCAAGGACUAUUCAGAGCCCUAAACGGCCCACAAGGAUGCAUACAUUCUCUCGGCCGGCCGCUUCUUUCUAAGCAAGCCAACAUGCCAUUUGCCAAGGCAGGCCCAUUACUACAUGCCAGUCUUAUUUGGUAAUCGCCGCCGCCUCCAGGCCCUCCGCGGGUGGACAUCGUUCGUCGCCCCGCGCACCCAAAUCCUGCCUGCAACGCCUACCUCCGCCGCCGCUGGCGCCACUCCUCCACCCUCGUGCCCCUGCCUCCUCCACGGCUGGCCCCCGUCCUCCCCUGUGCUCUAGGCUGACCAGGCAGCACUGCCACACCCGGCCAAGUGAUUGCAACAAGGUUUAGGAGGACCUGCAGAGGGUGAUGAUUGACGUGCUGGGAGCGUGAGGGGAACUCAACCUUCUUGAUCAUCUUAAGUGAUAAGUUGGAUUCUCGCUUGGGUCCAAUGAGCAUUUCGACCUUUAGUUUCUGGGUUACACAGCUACCUCUCAACAGCCAAUACCCUUUUGGUGGUCAAAAGAAUUAUGGCUAGCUAGGUACAGACACAACAAUUAAAGUAAUAUUGUGAAGAGCUGAGUGAUACGAGGAUUAAGCAUUGCAGCCUCAGCCACGUGACCUCCCUUUGGAACUGAACAAUUGACCAUCAGUUCUAAUGAUUAUUGUUUAAGGUGUGCAUUGCUAUUCGCAUUGGUUGGUUCAAAGUGCCUUGGGCACCACCUGCGAGAGAACAUGUACUUACCCACGAAAUGCUAGCUAUUCUGAGAAGAAGUGACAUGCCAGAUCACUCAAUCAUAAUUGUUUUGAACUGCUACAUGGACCUGCAUUAAGGUAGUUACCAAGUGUUCGAUCAGGUUAUGCGAGCUCAAUUUGGUGGUGAAGGAUAUUAUACAGUCACAAUGCAGUUUUGGUCCAUAUGUGAAUCUGCAGAUAUUGGGUCAGCCUUUUAAUAUUUUCUUUGAUAUUGCAUUAUCGCAAUCUCACCUGAAUUACAUUCCUCAAGUUUUAUCACUGGGGUGAUAUCUCAAAUUUCUGUUCGGAAAUUGUCAAAUGUGAUUUCUAUGCAAGCCGGUCUAAUGGGGCUUGAAUUAGUUCAUUUAGGCAAUAUUGGAAAGGCAUCUCUGGUUCCUCCAUUUGCUUUGCUGGGUGCAGUAUAGCUCAUCUUGCAUGGUUGAGGAUGUUCAGCAGAAUAACCAUUGGUUUAGUUUACUAAACUACAUUGUGUUUUAUUAAGGGGACACUUGAAAGGUAUAUUUCUAUACAUCUUCAGGGUCCUUGAAGUCAUGAACAACUUAGACCAUGGAUGGUUCUCUGUUAGAUUUUAUCUUAAAGAGUUGAAAAGGAUGCCUGGAAGUUUACCAUUGGUGGGCAAUGGUAUAAAGCUUCCAGUUCAUCACUACGUGGUUAAUCUUGCUGCAGUACUGCUCUUCACAACUGACUAAUCUUGAUGUAUCAUGGAAUUUAAUAAGAGCAGCAACAUGCACAUAUUCACUCCUGA